rnacentral:misc_RNA from 1 species
GAUGAAGAACGUAGCGAAAUGCGAUAACUAAUGUGAAUUGCAGAAUUCAGUGAAUCAUCGAGUCUUUGAACGCACAUUGCGCCCCCUGGUAUUCCGGGGGGCAUGCCUGUCCGAGCGUCAUUGCUGCCCUCAAGCACGGCUUGUGUGUUGGGCUCCGUCCCCCCGGGGACGGGCCCGAAAGGCAGCGGCGGCACCGAGUCCGGUCCUCGAGCGUAUGGGGCUUUGUCACCCGCUCUGUAGGCCCGGCCGGCGCCAGCCGACAACCCAUCAUCCUUUUCAGGUUGACCUCGGAUCAGGUAGGGAUACCCGCUGAACUUAAGCAUGUCAAUAAGCGGAGGA